rnacentral:rRNA from 1 species
UACAGAGGUCCCAAGCGUUGUUCGGAUUUACUGGGCGUAAAGAGCGCGUAGGCGGUCUGUUAAGUGAGAAGUGAAAGCUCCGGGCUCAACUCGGAAAUGGCUUUUCAUACUGGCAGACUGGAGUGAUGCAGAGGUUUGUGGAAUUCCUGGUGUAGCGGUGAAAUGCGUUGAUAUCAGGAGGAACACCCAUGGCGAAGGCAGCAAACUGGGCAUUAACUGACGCUGAGGCGCGAAAGCGUGGGUAGCAAACAGG